AAUUUUUGAGAGUGGAGACCGGA
rnacentral:piRNA from 1 species